rnacentral:rRNA from 1 species
UACGGAGGGGGCAAGCGUUGUUCGGAAUUACUGGGCGUAAAGGGCUCGUAGGUGGCCAACUAAGUCAGACGUGAAAUCCCUCGGCUUAACCGGGGAACUGCGUCUGAUACUGGAUGGCUUGAGUGUGGGAGAGGGAUGCGGAAUUCCAGGUGUAGCGGUGAAAUGCGUAGAUAUCUGGAGGAACACCGGUGGCGAAGGCGGCAUCCUGGACCAUUACUGACACUGAAAAGCGAAAGCCAGGGGAGCAAACGGG